AACGAACGCUGGCGGCAGGCCUAACACAUGCAAGUCGAGCGAAGCCUUCGGGCUUAGCGGCGGACGGGUGAGUAACGCGUGGGAACGUGCCCUUUGGUACGGAAUAGCCCCGGGAAACUGGGAGUAAUACCGUAUGUGGUCGAGAGACGAAAGAUUUAUCGCCAAAAGGAUCGGCCCGCGUUGGAUUAGGUAGUUGGUGGGGUAAUGGCCUACCAAGCCGACGAUCCAUAGCUGGUUUGAGAGGAUGAUCAGCCACACUGGGACUGAGACGCGGCCCAGACUCCUACGGGAGGAAGCAGUGGGGAAUCUUAGACAAUGGGGGAAACCCUGAUCUAGCCAUGCCGCGUGAUCGAUGAAGGCCUUAGGGUUGUAAAGAUCUUUCAGUGGGGAAGAUAAUGACUGUACCCACAGAAGAAGCCCCGGCUAACUCCGUGCCAGCAGCCGCCGCGGUAA
rnacentral:rRNA from 1 species